UACGAAGGGGGCUAGCGUUGCUCGGAAUUACUGGGCGUAAAGGGAGCGUAGGCGGACAGUUAAGUCAGAGGUGAAAGCCCAGGGCUCAACCCUGGAAUUGCCUUUGAUACUGAUUGUCUUGAGUAUGGGAGAGGUAUGCGGAACUCCGAGUGUAGAGGUGAAAUUCGUAGAUAUUCGGAAGAACACCAGUGGCGAAGGCGGCAUACUGGCCCAUUACUGACGGCUGAGG
rnacentral:rRNA from 1 species